rnacentral:rRNA from 1 species
ACGGAAGGCAGCAGUGAGGAAUAUUGGUCAAUGGGCGCAAGCCUGAACCAGCCAAGUAGCGUGAGGGAUGACUGCCCUACGGGUUGUAAACCUCUUUUGUUUGGGAAUAAAGGAGCCUACGCGUAGGCUUUUGCAUGUACCUUUCGAAUAAGCAUCGGCUAAUUCCGUGCCAGCAGCCGCGGUAAUACGGAAGAUGCGAGCGUUAUCCGGAUUUAUUGGGUUUAAAGGGAGCGUAGGCGGCCGGUUAAGUCUGCGGUCAAAUGUCAGGGCCCAACCUUGGCAUGCCGUGGAUACUGUCCGGCUUGAGUGCACACAAGGAAGGUGGAAUUCGUCGUGUAGCGGUGAAAUGCUUAGAUAUGACGAAGAACUCCGAUUGCGAAGGCAGCUGUCCGGGGUGUAACUGACGCUAAUGCUCGAAAGUGCGGGUAUCAAACAGGAUUAGAUACCCUGGUA